GACUCUUUGCGCCUCGGCUCACGUGUGUACAUCUGCGUUUCAGGUUUCUCUUUGAGCUCGAGACUCAGCUUACCUUAAUUCCAAAGCCGUUGAAGAGAUUGACGUCGCGUCGGCAUGGUUGAAACAAAGCUGAGAAAAGAGUGGCAGGUUGUACUUCCUGCACUGCGAAGCAUGGAGAGGAUCAUCCUGUACAUAGCAGACAGAAGAUACACUGGGAAAACAGCUGACUGUGAGAUUACCUAAAAAGAAUUGUCUCUUUGGGCAGAAUCUGGAAGGUAUUUCAGAAGAGAAAGGCCUAAAAUCUGAAAGAGUACUGGCAUGUUUGGCUACAAAGAUAAUGAGAGAAGAGCCUCUGAGAAGCACGACCGACAAUAUUUCAGGGAAGAAGCAGCAGCAAAGCUUGAUGCAGGAAGAACUUCGAAACAUUUGGUAGAGCCACGUGUGACUGAUCAAAAUAUUCACCCUAAAAAAAAAAAAAAACAAACAAAAACAAAAAAAAAAACCCCACACCACACAGAUGGUUAAGAUUUGCUAGAAUCCGGGAGAUUUUUCCAAUGGGACUUUAUCUACCCACAAUCACUUUGAAGACCUUCAUCCGAAUUUCUACAAUACAAAGCAACGAGAUUCCAUAUUUUGCAGCCACAGAAGGAAAGUUACCAUGCCUGCUUAACCGCUCAGGAAACACAUGCCAUUUCUACUGCAAUUGUAUUUGUUAUGGAGAAAAUCCAUACAAUGUAACAUAGGGGUUCUUGCUACACAGGGUGAGAUGGUGUCACUGAUAGUAUCUGGAUGGUGGACAAUACCAUCUGUUCCAAAGACAUGUGAUCUCAAAUCUUGGUUUUUAAGUAAUGCUGUAUUCUAGGAGACAAAUGCUUUGUUCAAUUUCUUAGUUAGUUACAACAUUGCAGCAUGGUCUUUAAUAAGGGCAACUGUCUGCUAUCAGGUGGGGGCUUUUAAGGUAGAGGAACUGCUGGUCAAUUGCACUAACCAUGAGGGGAAGGCUUCAGGUAUUUCUUUCAAACUCUAUGCUUUAGAAAAGUUAUUAGUCACUUGAGACAAGUGUCCAUAUGUUACUUUCGUACAAGUGAAUCAGCUUCAGAACUUUAUUCCCACGUGUCCUGAAGUAUGAAGAUGCCAUACAAGAAUCCUGAACGAACAGACACCGACGGUGUGGUGGGGAUGGAUGCUGAGGGAGAGAAGAGCAGAUAGUUCUGUGCAAGCCAUUGCACACAAGGACUCUGUAAACAGGACUGGUGACAAGACUGGCCCUCCUUAUCCCCAAAAUCCAGGAUUAUUUAAAUGUGUUACGUUAGGCACAUGCCUCAGUUUAUUUCUAUGAUUUGGGAUGAUAUUGACACAGCACAUUUUAAAGCGCUCAAAGUGGUAUGCCAGAGUGGGAGCCCAAGCAACCACAGCAUGGUAUGCAGGAGUGCAGUUCCUGUUCCAGAAAAAGAAGCUCUCGUACAACACACCCCUCCUGUGAAUUUGUUGGCUGAGAGUAGCAGAGAAGACAGAGUUAUUGUCAAAAGGCUUCAGCAGUCACCUGAAAAUAUUUUUCUGCUGAGAGUGCUUUGCAAAUAUUUAAUUGUAUCUGGCUGCUUUCUGCCUUGAUUCUCUGUCAUUUGAAGUUGUACUUUGGAGAUCGCAUUGUGUGUUCUGUAACCACAGGUAGCAAAAAUUGUGGCUGUUGCUUCUGUCCAGCCACCAUCUGUUAGCUGCUUUAUAGCUGUGUGCUUUGUAAGUGAUCUAUCAAAUGCCACCAAAUAUUUUUCAUAUGUGAUCAUUCUGUGCCCAUCAAUAGCAAUAAUGAAGAUUGAAGGCUACAUGAACAAAAAGCUGUAAAUAAAUGUGUGAUAUGUAUGCCUGUAAAUUAGCCUUCUUCAUUCAUAAUUUUAUUUCAUAAUUAAGUGAAACCUAAGCUCUCUGGCAGGAAAUGGAGAAUGAUUCAUAUGAGCACCCGUGAAUUCAUAAUCUCUUCUAUUGGACAUGAAGUCACUUUACCCAUUUAUCCAUAUGCUUUGCUACGCUCAACAGGUGCUUCAUUUCACUGUUUUGUCUGAUCCCACUCUGUUUUAUUUCCCGUUUUCCAUGGAAGAAAAGCCAGCAAGA